rnacentral:rRNA from 1 species
UAAACGUCUCAGUUCGGAUUGUAGUCUGCAACUCGACUACAUGAAGCUGGAAUCGCUAGUAAUCGCAGAUCAGAAUGCUGCGGUGAAUACGUUCCCGGGUCUUGUACACACCGCCCGUCACACCAUGGGAGUCGGAAAUGCCCGAAGCCGGUGACCCAACCAAAAGGAGGGAGCCGUCGAAGGCAGGUCUGAUAACUGGGGUGAAGUCGUAACAAGGUAAC